CUUUACUGCAGGCUCGUAUUGGUCACGAGCACAGGAUGCGCAGGAUAGGUGGGAGGCUUUGAAGCCGGCGUUUAGGCGUCGGUGGAGCCAUUGGUGAGAUACCACCCUUCUUGAGUUUGUGGCCUAACCUCGAUUCCCGUGAACCCGGGCGAGGGACAGUGCGUGUUGGGCAGUUUGACUGGGGCGGUCUCCUCCGAAAAAGUAACGGAGGAGCGCAAAGGUUGGCUCAGCGCGGAUGGAAACCGCGUUUUAGAGUGUAAGAGCACAAGCCAGCUUUACUGCGAGUCCGACGGGACGAGCAGUCGGGAAACCGGGCUCUAGUGAUCCUGCGAUCGCGUGUGGAAGCGUCGUAGCUCAUCGGAUAAAAGGUA
rnacentral:rRNA from 1 species